rnacentral:rRNA from 1 species
GCCCAAGAGUUCAUAUCGACGGCGGUGUUUGGCACCUCGAUGUCGGCUCAUCACAUCCUGGGGCUGAAGUAGGUCCCAAGGGUAUGGCUGUUCGCCAUUUAAAGUGGUACGCGAGCUGGGUUUAGAACGUCGUGAGACAGUUCGGUCCCUAUCUGCCGUGGGCGCUGGAGAAUUGAGGGGGGCUGCUCCUAGUACGAGAGGACCGGAGUGGACGCAUCACUGGUGUUCGGGUUGUCAUGCCAAUGGCACUGCCCGGUAGCUAAAUGCGGAAGAGAUAAGUGCUGAAAGCAUCUAAGCACGAAACUUGCCCCGAGAUGAGUUCUCCCUGAGACUUUAAGUCUCCUGAAGGAACGUUGAAGACGACGACGUUGAUAGGCCGGGUGUGUAAG